CUGCAAUUAUGGGUUUCUGGGAGGAAGACCACAGAGAUGAAGUGACAUCAUCUUCGUAUCUUCUUAAGGACGUGCUAUCAUCAUGACUCAUCACUAAUGAUGCUGACCUUGAUCACCUGCUCUACAAGGAAGAGAAUAAUACUAGACUUGCUUUCGACUACUUAUGCUCAGAGAAUUGGUACAAGCUUGGGAUUGCCUGGCAAGAGCAAAGAAAAGACAGAGUUUGAAAUCAGAGCACACUGCUCCAGACCAAUCCAGCGAGAAGAUCGUAGGACUUUUGGCUCUCAAUCAAUGUUGCUUUGGGUUUUGAAAUUUGAGAGAAGAGAGCUAGGCACUAAAGAAGGAACUAUCCAGUUUGGGAGCAGAAUUCACAGGAAAUAUAAGAGCCAGGACUUGUUGGGUUUGGAAAGUAAGCUGUUUCAACCUCGCAAUUUCUCCGAACAAAAUUAUGAAAUGACCUCCAGGCACAGAUCAGAUCUGGGGCAGCGGUAAAGGUGAAACCAAAGGUUUGGCUAACUAAAAGCCUCAGGAAGACUUAGGGGCUUAAGAGCCUUGUCCCACGGCAGCCUCCAAGGUGCCCCAGUGACCUGCCCCAGAAAGAAAAGUCAGAGUGGCUUACAGCUGAUGGAGUGAACCCUGAAGAAAUCCAAAGAAAAGCACAUAGGUUAUGUGAGGGGGUUGUAUUAGAGGAGGACUAGAAGCGAUCCCGGAAGGAAGCAGGCUGAGCGCCUACUCGUUGCAAACCUGGGCCAUGUCUUCCUCAUAAGGAGAACUCAGAGAGUGGAAGCAAGAGGCCAGAAGGCAGAGUGAAGAGCUGGGAGGAAGCCAGGGAGCAGAAGUGGGUCCUAAUGAAGAAAUCGGAAACAGGAGCCUGCUUGGAUUCAAACAGCCGUGAACCGGUGACCACUGUGUCCCCAUUGCCCCUUCUUUGGGACCCCAGUGCUAACUGUGGUCUCUGUCUCUCCAUUAUCCGUUGUGCAUGCAGGAGGCCACUGGCUUGUCUCUUUAGUUCACCAGGUCUUCAGAUCCAGAGGAAAGGCCCCCAAGGAGGAGCCAACUCAUCCUCACUUGGACAUGAUAGAAACCACAUUCUAGGGAAUUCUGAGCAGCCUGAGUAUAUUGUGCAUGUGGGGGAGGAAUGUAAAUAAUGUCUGGACAGAAAGUGGAUAUGGGAGAGUAAAAAUGUGCUUUGACGCGCUUGCCAUUGAGAGAUGGAUUCUAUUUUCCAACGCUUUGAAUCUGUGAAUGCUUUGAUAAUGGAGUACAAUGUCAGUGGCUCUAUGCCCGUUCAGAGCCAGCCUUUGAUAGAGCUGACAGCUCCUGCCUUGGUUUCUUAGAGCCCUGAGUUGCCAUGUGGGAAUUCUGACUGCCCUGCUGGAGAGAUUACCCAGGGAGGUCCCGAGACUACAUGAGAGGAGGGCCCAGCUGUGCCCAGCCUUCCAGCCAUCCCUCCACCCCAAAGUGCUAGCUAGAUAUGAUGUGGGUCACGCCUCCUUUUAAUCUCCAGCCCAGCCCAGAGGCCAGUUGAAUGCCUCGGAACCACGAUGCCACGGAGCCACAAUGCUGCUAUGGAGCAGCGGAGCAGACAAUUCACCCAGCCAAGUCUUGCCAGAAUUCCUGACUUCUGUGGUUUGUGAGCGUAACAAAAUGACUUGUUUUAAUGCACUAAAUUCGGGGUGGUUUUUUGUGCAGUAAUAGAUACCUGGGACACACAUACACACACACACACACACACACACAUGCCACAUCCUAGUUGAGUGACCCGGAACAUUUUACUUAAGGUCUCUGCCUUCAGUAUUUUUUUUAAAGAUUUUAUUUACUUUUUUGUCAGAGAGACAGAGAGAGCACAAGCAGGAGAGCAGCAGGCAGAGGGAGAAGCAGGAUCCCCACUGAGCAGAGCGCCCAACCCAGGACUCGAUCCCAGGACCCUGAGAUCAUGACCUGAGCUGAAGUCAGACGCUUAGCUGACUGAGCCCCCCAGGGUCCCUGCCUUCAGUGUUUUCAUCAGUAAAGUUGGAUGACAGUAUUUACCUAGCAUGGGUGUUAAAAAAUUAAACAAAACAACAUAUAAAGCAGCAUGUAUUGGGAUCAUAACCUUCUUCCUUUUGUUUCUCUGUCAAGUCUCCCUUCACAUACCAAUAGUAUUAGCAGGUGUGAGGUUACUUCAGACACCAUCGGUUUCCCUGAUCGACAUGCACCUGCAUGCUCGCUCCCCACGGAUAUACACAUAUGUGUGGUAUAGGAUUUAAAAUCUUAUUAAUUUUCAGAUUUAAAUAUCACUUCAAAACUGAUUAUUAGUGGUGGUAAAUGUGGUGAGGAUUCCAGUAUUUCCAGAAAUGGAUGGUUUCGUUGUUGGUAGUGGUUACCUUCCUCUUCGGGUUGUUCCUUAAAAGUCAGAUUAAAAAUAAAUAAGCCAGAUUUCCCCCUAAUAAGUGAGAGAGGCGUGGUGUAGCUCUGUGCAUGCAGGACGCUCAGCAGGAGUCAGUGGGCUUCUCUGAACCUGUUCAGACUGAAAGGCCUCAGAUCAAAGGCGAGCGCGUCUGCAGCUGGGCUGCGGAGUCCCGGAGUCCCGGCUUCCAUCACAUUCACUGUAAUUACUAGAAACCGCUUGGUGGGAAAGGCAUGCCUAUGGAGAGCCCACACUUGGACACCUGCUUAUGUACCUUCAACCAAAUCAUUCCUACUUAUUUCAGUUUAUGAAUACGGUGGCUUGGUCAUUUUGCUGUCUCACGACAUGGGGUCCAGUGACUUUGGUCCUGGCAUAAUUAGUUGUACGACUCCAAGAUUAAGACAAGCACGUAUUCAUAAACAUAAACACAGGUACGCUCGCUGCUUUGUUGAAAAGUUAUUGGCUUGGAUGAGAUAAAGCAUCUAUUUGAAGAUGGAGAGAGGGAACAUGAAGGGAGACAAAUCUUUGGCGCUUAAUUAGACCUAGAGAUUCUGUUAAUCAGGUUAGCAUCUUGCAUUUACCAGGUCUGAGACUUCCAUUUUUUUUUUUUUAACUUCCCUUCUGCCUACCCUCCCCACCGCAACGCUGCGCAACUCGGAAUCCUUUGAUGGGAGGAGGGGGAUAGGUGAAAUCUUUCUGUAGUUCUCGGUCUUUCUCCAGUUAAAAGAAUUAAGGAUGGCAAACACCUGUCGAACAGACCCUCCCACCCAGACAGGCCUCGGGGAGGGGUGAGAAGGCCAG